rnacentral:rRNA from 1 species
CAAUAGCGUAUAUUAACGUUGUUGCAGUUAAAAAGCUCGUAGUUGGAUUUCUGGAGGGAGCGUCGGCCCGUAUUUACGAGUGCGUGACGUCUCUGUCCAUCCUUGCGGGAAGGCACGGCAUUGAUUUGUUGUGUCGGAUCGCAUCAUUUACUGUGAAAAAAUUAGAGUGUUCAAAGCAGGCUUUCGCUUGAAUACAUUAGCAUGGAAUAAUAAGAUAGGACUUUGGUGCUAUUUUGUUGGUUGAGCCUAAAGUAAUGAUUAAUAGGGAUAGUUGGGGGCACCUGUAUUGCGUUGUCAGAGGUGAAAUUCUUGGAUUUACGCAAGACAAACAGCUGCGAAANCGNNNGCCAAGGAUGUUUNCAUNAA